GAUGAACGCUAGCUACAGGCUUAACACAUGCAAGUCGAGGGGAAACGGCAUUGAGUGCUUGCACUCUUUGGACGUCGACCGGCGCACGGGUGAGUAACGCGUAUCCAACCUUCCCAUUACUGUGGGAUAACCUGCCGAAAGGCAGACUAAUACCGCAUAGUCUUCGAUGACGGCAUCAGAUUUGAAGUAAAGAUUUAUCGGUAAUGGAUGGGGAUGCGUCUGAUUAGCUUGUUGGCGGGGUAACGGCCCACCAAGGCAACGAUCAGUAGGGGUUCUGAGAGGAAGGUCCCCCACAUUGGAACUGAGACACGGUCCAAACUCCUACGGGAGGCAGCAGUGAGGAAUAUUGGUCAAUGGACGGAAGUCUGAACCAGCCAAGUAGCGUGCGGGAUGACGGCCCUAUGGGUUGUAAACUGCUUUUGUAUGGGGAUAAAGUUAGGGACGUGUCCCUAUUUGCAGGUACCAUACGAAUAAGGACCGGCUAAUUCCGUGCCAGCAGCCGCGGUAAUACGGAAGGUCCAGGCGUUAUCCGGAUUUAUUGGGUUUAAAGGGAGCGUAGGCUGGAGAUUAAGUGUGUCGUGAAAUGUAGACGCUCAACGUCUGAAUUGCAGCGCAUACUGGUUUCCUUGAGUACGCACAACGUUGGCGGAAUUCGUCGUGUAGCGGUGAAAUGCUUAGAUAUGACGAAGAACUCCGAUUGCGAAGGCAGCUGACGGGAGCGCAACUGACGCUUAAGCUCGAAGGUGCGGGUAUCAAACAGG
rnacentral:rRNA from 1 species